rnacentral:lncRNA from 1 species
GGCCUUGAGGAUCAGGACUUCCUGGAGGGUAGCUUGGUUGGAGAAAGGUGCUCACUCGUGUCCAUGUGUCUCGCCAUGCGUCAUUGCCCGUCACCACGGUACUAGAGACCUCGGAGGGCCAUGUCCACCCGCGAUCACGUGCGUUGCGGCGGCGGGGAGCUGUGGUCUAGGUGCGAGUGGACUUGACAAGAUUUUACCUCCACAGAGCAGGAGGGUGCUGUCAUGUGCACAGUCACAAGCAUUUGUUGUUUUGGGUCUCCCAGCCAUCCAACCCCGGCUAGUAGCGGUCAGCAAAACAAAACCUACAGAGAUGGUGAUUGAGGCCUAGCAGUGUGGCCGUGAACUACAGAGGAGCCUGGCUCUGACAUCAGACAGACGUCUGCUUGAGUGCCACCACUCUCCAGCAUUGGAACUUUCAGUCAGUUACCUAACCUCUCUGUACCUGAGUUUCCUUCUGUGGCAGUGGCGUCGAGGGAGUGGCCAUUGUUAGAAGGGUGUGAUGAGGCUUCUGCACAGUGAUAUGGAACCCUGGACUUCUCCUUUGCUCGCUUUUUGUUAAGAGUGAAUGCCAGGCAUUUGCUUACAACCAUCUUCCUGGCGCUCACAUGUAGCAGAUCUUGGCUUGAAGGAGCUCAGUGUAGACAUCUGUUUUCCAGAUGUGCCCUGAAGUCAGGUUGCCUGGGCUCAAAUCUCAGGUGCACAGUUCUAGUCCAUAGCCUUAGGAAAAGACUGCUCCCGCCUGUCUUAAUUUCCUCUGAAGACUGAUGUGGGUAAGAACACUUAGAGUUGCUGUAUGAAGUGAGAAGUCGUAGGGCUGGCACAGGGGUCAGCAGAUUAACAGUUACUAUUACU